rnacentral:lncRNA from 1 species
GGAAAACACAUAUUUCAUAAUCAAAAAUAAGUUUAGAUGUCUAAAACAUUCAUUUAAAGUGAAACUAUACCUAUUUGAAUAUAAUAAAAAUAUUCAAUAAAUUUUUUUUUUUAUAAAUCAAUAUUUAUAAAGUUACCGGUAAAUAAUUUUUGUAGCGUAAAAGCUAAAUAAAUUCAUACAUACUGUAAUACAAAUAACCAAAGCAUAAGAUUUAAUUUACAAUGACACGUGAGCCCACGAACGACCAAAAGUAUCAAAAGCGGUAAACCUACAGUUUUUGAGGAUGCAAGUCCAACUGUAGCCCUCAAUGAAAUGAGCUAUCUACCGACUAUCCUGAGCCUGAAAGGGGUGGAAAUGAGGGUGGUGAGAUUAUAUAAUCCCAAUGAGUAAACAAAUACCAUCUAAAAUAUCUAAAGUUGAGUAAAUGGAGACAGAUAAAAUAAAUUAGCAUAAAAAUGAUUCACAGCAUUUCGAACUCAUUUUAAUAAGAUAAAAUAGAUUCAUUUCACCUAAAUAAACAACAAGGCUUAUGAUUUCCUGAAAAGUUUGGCUCGUGCCAAAAUCAUUGUUAUACUCAAUUAUCAGAGAUACCUUGGCCGAGGGCUAUCCCAACCAAGUCCUCCAAGGCUGUUAAAAGAAAUCAUGUACGCAUAAAUCAUGUUUUUAUUUUGAAAACAUAGUUGUUCCUUGGCGUUGGCUGAGUUCACCAUCACGUGGUGGUUUGGCAUGAAGUGAACUCUAAAGUUUUAACCUUAGGAGUUAUCCAACCGCGCCUCUCAUACUGAGGUAUGAAUAUAAUAGGGUUACUAUGCCUCUCUAAUAGGUUGGUCCAUGGAACCCGUCCACUGCAGCGACCAAUUUAUAACCCACCAAUUCAAUAAAAUUCAACAGCAUGACAUGACAAUUAUUUUAUUUUACAGCCUCUCAAGGUAAAUCAAUAGCUCAUACUUUUUCAGCACAUUUACCAAAUCAACCAUUCAUGUCAAUAUUAUCAUAAGCCAUUGAAUUCAAACCAUGAUUUAUAACACAACAAUUAGUCUCCAAUUACUCCAUUUUCAAAACCAUUUUUCAAUUUCAAGACAAUUUUAUAAAAUCAUUUCAUUUAAUCACAUUUUGCUUAUAAAACAUAAAUAUUUGCCAUUUAAACUCAUUUUCUAUCAAAUCACAAAAACGAUUAAAAACUACUUUAGAUAAUUAAGACGAUAAUAAGGUUACUCACUGUAAUGGAAAUCGAGUUCCGAGUACUCCGAUUCUUGAUCCUCGGGUACUAUCUCUUUACUUUUGCUAGAAUGCUCACCACCUAGACAUAAUGCACAAUAAGCCAUUUACUACAUUUGUGUUAAAUUGUUAUAAAACCAAUUCAGGCUUUAUACUAAUGCAUGAAAUGGGAUGUAAAUUGUUCGGAUUAUCGUCUAAACACGGUGUUCUACACAAAUUCAAUUGUGUACCUAAAUAAAACGGUAUUGGUCUAAUUCGAUCUAUCACUCGAUUAAUUGGCCAAUACGUCCAAUUCAACUCCAAAUAAUUCCAUUUUUCUCCCAAUACUCCAAAUCAUCAAACACAAAUUAAAUAACUUGAAAUAUGGCAAAAUCAUCCUCACAUUUCUUCUUGAGAAUUUUGACCAUGGUGAGUGCAUCAACACUAUGAUUUUUCAUACUUGAUUUUUUCACCAUAAUUCAUCAUUUCCUAACCAAUUCACUUGAAAUAAAAUUAAAUCCACCAUCAACACUCUACAAGGAAGAUUCGGCCAAUGAUGGGUGAUGGGAGAAAAUGAAUUUUUCUUGUUGGCUUUUCAUGCUACACAUCACUAACUAACUAAAAACACUAAAAUACAUUGAAAUAUAACAAAAUCAAGCAUCAAAACCUCCCUCUAAGUGUUCAGCCAGCAAGGGAUUCAUCAUGAUUUCAUAUGAUUCAACCAUGAAAAAUAAAAAAAAAAUGCUUAAGAAAGAGAGAUCUCAAGCUUAAUUGAAAAAGCUUACCUUUUUUUCACUUGUUUCCUUGAAUUUUCACACUUUUCCCUUGAAUUUUUCCACCUAAGGUUUUGUUCUUCCUUUUCUUCCUUUGUGAUUGCUUUGGCCGGCCAUAUGAAGAGAGAUGGGCUGAUUUUGUGCUGAUUUUUAAGCCAAAUAAUAAAUGGAUGAAAAUUUGACACAUGUCAC